rnacentral:rRNA from 1 species
AACGAACGCUGGCGGCGUGGAUAAGACAUGCAAGUCGAGCGAGAUUUUUUCCUGUCGCAAUACAGGGAAAAGUCGAGCGGCGAACGGGUGCUUAACACGUGGGCAACCUGCCAAGAAGUGGGGGAUAGCUCGCCGAAAGGCGAAUUAAUACCGCAUGUGAUCAGAGUGGACAUCCAUUCAAAAUCAAAGUCGGGGCAACCUGACGCUUCUUGAGGGGCCCGCGGCCUAUCAGCUAGUUGGUGAGGUAACGGCCCACCAAGGCUUAGACGGGUAGCUGGUCUGAGAGGACGACCAGCCACACUGGGACUGAGACACGGCCCAGACACCUACGGGUGGCAGCAGUCGAGAAUUUUUCUCAAUGGGGGAAACCCUGAAGGAGCGACGCCGCGUGGAGGAUGAAGGUCUUCGGAUUGUAAACUCCUGUCAUUGGGGAACAAUGCGCAAAUAUUAACUGUAUUUGCGUUGAUAGUACCCGAAGAGGAAGAGACGGCUAACUCUGUGCCAGCCGCCGCGGUAAAAC